rnacentral:lncRNA from 1 species
UCAUUAUCGUGCUAUAAUGAUGAUGACAUUGUAUGACUUUAUGUGAUAAUAGAGGGGUUUUGGCAAAGAGCAGCUUGUUUUACAAGUUUUUUUUUUUUUGUGUCAUUCUGAAACUGAAAGCGUAUGCUGUAAAAGGCGGAGAGAGACAGAAAAACCACACAGCUGGAGCAGGCAAGCUGAGGACAGGCAAAGUGAAGAGUCAAAACCAUGAAUGCUGUGAAUGUGUUGGCGCUGUUGGUUCUGGUUUGGAGCUUCACUGCUGUAUGUCAACCUAUUGGUGAUUUCAAUGUGAGCUGUGAUAAUGUGACUGGAACUGUGGGCAAGGAAGUCAUUUUAACCUGCAGCAUCUCUCAGUGUAAAGAAGCACAAUUUAAAAAAUACAAGUUUCUCUACCCUGAGAGCUUUCGUAAACCAGCAAUCUGCACAAUAGAGCUUAAUAACUCCUGCAAAGAUUUGAACAACGUCACAUGUAGAUACACUUCAAACACAACACAGACGGGUCUAUUUGGAUUCUUUCUGCAAGCAAAUACUUCACACAGAGAAGUAAAAUUCUUCGUGAACAUAACAGAGGAAGAAAAGGAUCCUGUAACAGAGGAAUCUCAUUCUAAACAUACGGUCGCCACUUCCACUGUGAGCUGUUUCGUCAUCCUCCUUGUCAUCUUAUUUACAACCUUUUGCAUUAUGCAAAGGAACAAAAAGCCGUGUGGAUUUCCGAAGGGGAUGUAUAAGACUGCAACAAACAAGAUGAUGACGACAGAAUCUGUCUAG